rnacentral:rRNA from 1 species
CCUACGGGGGACAGCAGUGGGGAAUAUUGCACAAUGGGGGAAACCCUGAUGCAGCGACGCCGCGUGAGCGAUGAAGUAUUUCGGUAUGUAAAGCUCUAUCAGCAGGGAAGAAAAUGACGGUACCUGACUAAGAAGCCCCGGCUAACUACGUGCCAGCAGCCGCGGUAAUACGUAGGGGGCAAGCGUUAUCCGGAUUUACUGGGUGUAAAGGGAGCGUAGACGGUCCUGCAAGCCAGAUGUGAAAGCCCGGGGCCCAACCCCGGGACUGCAUUUGGAACUGUAAGGCUAGAGUGUAGGAGAGGCAGGCGGAAUUCCUAGUGGAGAGGUGAAAUGCGUAGAUAUUAGGAGGAACACCAGUGGCGAAGGCGGCCUGCUGGACGAUGACUGACGUUGAGGCUCGAAAGCGUGGGGAGCAAACAGGAUUAGAUACCCCAGUAGUC